ensembl:snoRNA
ACCCUUUAGAUUCCUUGCCCCUCAGAUCUAAAUAUGGGUCUGAGUGGCUGAAAAAGAAGGAAAAGUAAACCUGAGGCGGACUUGGAGUCUAAUAACUUACAAGUUCAUUUCAAACAUAG